CUCUAAUCAAGUUUUGGUAAACAUGACCAAUUUGUAGAUUUUGGCGGAUUUGGAACGUGAAUUUGGAGUCGCAUAAGAAGCAGAAAAGGUACACCAGAUGAGCCACAGCUAUCAUAGAAGAUGUUCCAGCGGAGUUGGCAGGCUCCACUUGUUCUGGAGUGCUGCCGAGUCAGAGUGUCUGAGCCAUGAUGUUUGUUUGAUGUUAGAGACUUUGCAGACAGAGUCGUGGGUAUAGAGUGUCGAUAAUAUGUUGUAUCAUAAAGUCCAUGUGAUUGCAGAUUCUGUUUGACUUGAGUACGAUGGAAAAAAAAAAUCUCUUGAAAGUUU